rnacentral:lncRNA from 1 species
GCGGGCGGAGGGGGAGGUGGAGGCAUCUGCAGCUGGACAGAGAAGUGGUGCUUUGUUUCUCUGUGCCUCAGUUUCCCUCUUGGUAAAAUAGGCAUGGUUCCUCCUAUGGAUGUAAGAAGGACCUAGGAACCUUUGCAAGGGCAGAGGAGUCCGCCCCUCUGGUCUGACUGGGAGACAAGGUGUUCCCCAAUCUGAUGGUGGGGACAAGGUGGCCCAACACAGUGGGAAAAAUAAGGAAACUAAGGAGCUCUCACCAAAUCCCAUGAGGGAGACAGGACUGUCCAAAUCCAAUGAAGAAGAUAAGAAGCUCCAGUCCUGUGCAGCAAGAACGAGUGUCCAGUCUAUAUUUCCAGUCUGCCAGGGGAGAGCUGUGCCCUGAAACCCUCUGCCCUGCUGAAGAAUGGAGAGGACUCCCCCACCAGCACCUCCACCUAGGACACAUGGGAACUGUGGGACUUGGAGCAAAGUUUUCAAGUCUCUGUGCCUUAGUUUCCUCACCUGUGCUGUUCUAGGCGCUGAGGAUGCAGCCGUGCACAAGACGGAUGAAAUCCCUGCCCUCAGGGGGCCGACAUUUGCGGAGUAAAUAAAGGAAAGUCUGCCAACAGAGCCAGACCCUGUCUCAAGACAAACAAAAAACUCUGGACACAAAGAUCUCGAGUGAGC